rnacentral:lncRNA from 1 species
UAGGAUUUAGCUGGAAUUUGGUUAGGAUUUGGACCUUGUCUAAGAUUUAAUUAGGAUUUGGUUAUGGUUUCAUUUAAGAUUUAAGAUUUAGUUAGGAUUUGAUUUAGAAUUUAGGGUUUGGUUAAGAUUUGGUAAGAGUGUGAUUUAAGGUCUAAAAUUUGUCUAGAAUUUGGUUUAGAAUUUAAGAUUUGAUUAGGAUUUCGCUUAAGAUUUAAGAUUUAAGAUUUGGUUAAGUUUUGGUUUAGAAUUUGGUUAAGGUUUGAUUAGGAUUUGGAAUUUGUAUAGGAUUUGAUUAAGAUUUGAUUAGGAUUUGAUUUAGGAUUUAAAGUUUGAUUGGAAUUGAUUUAGAAUUUUGUAUUUGAUUAAUAUUUGAUUUAAGAUUUAAGAUUUAGCAUUUUACAUUUGAUUAGCAUUUGAUUUAGGAUUUAGGAUUUUUUUAGGAUUUGAUUAGAAUUUAAUUUAGGAUUUAGGAUUUGAUUAGGAUUUGGAAUUUGUCUAAGAUUUAAUUUAAGAUUUAGAAUUUAAUUAAGAUUUUUCUUAGAUUUUGAUUGAAGUCCAUUAGGAUUUUAACUAGGAUUAAAUUAGAUAUUUCUACUAUAUAUUUUUAUGUGUAUUUCUACUAUAUAUUUUUAUAAUUAUUAAGAUAUCAUACGAUAGUCAUUUUUUUAUUAUAUUAGGAAGAACAUGGUUAUACAACAUAAAAGCCACUCAUGUUUGAAAUAA